AGGAUGAACGCUGGCGGCGUGCCUAAAACAUGCAAGUCGAGCGGUAAGGCCCUUUCGGGGGUACACGAGCGGCGGACGGGUGAGUAACACGUGGGAAUCUACCCCAAACUGAGGGAUAAGCACCGGAAACGGUGUCUAAUACCGCAUAUGGUCUUUUGAUUAAAGCUUCGGCGGUUUGGGAAGAGCCCGCGUAAGAUUAGCUAGUUGGUGAGGUAAAGGCUCACCAAGGCCACGAUCUUUAGCUGGUUUGAGAGGAUGAUCAGCCACACUGGAACUGAGACACGGUCCAGACUCCUACGGGAGGCAGCAGUUAGGAAUUUUUCCACAAUGGGCGCAAGCCUGAUGGAGCAACGCCGCGUGCAGGAUGAAGGCCUUAGGGUUGUAAACUGCUUUUAUACGUGACGAAUAUGACGGUAGCGUAUGAAUAAGGAUCGGCUAACUCCGCGCCAGCAGCCGC
rnacentral:rRNA from 1 species